rnacentral:rRNA from 1 species
UACGAAGGGUGCAACCGUUGCUCGGAAUCAUUGGGCGUAAAGCGCACGUAGGCGGCCUCAUAAGUCGGACGUGAAAUCCCUCGGCUCAACCGGGGAAGUGCAUCCGAAACUGCGAGGCUCGAGUAUGGAAGAGGGUCGCAGAAUUCCCGGUGUAGAGGUGAAAUUCGUAGAUAUCGGGAGGAAUACCAGUGGCGAAGGCGGCGACCUGGGCCAAUACUGACGCUGAGGUGCGAAAGCGUGGGGAGCAAACAGG